GUAGCUUGCUCAUUUUCUAGCGGCGGACGGGUGAGUAAUGCUUAGGAAUCUGCCUAUUAGUGGGGGACAACAUCUCGAAAGGGAUGCUAAUACCGCAUACGUCCUACGGGAGAAAGCAGGGGACCUUCGGGCCUUGCGCUAAUAGAUGAGCCUAAGUCGGAUUAGCUAGUUGGUGGGGUAAAGGCCUACCAAGGCGACGAUCUGUAGCGGGUCUGAGAGGAUGAUCCGCCACACUGGGACUGAGACACGGCCCAGACUCCUACGGGAGGCAGCAGUGGGGAAUAUUGGACAAUGGGGGGAACCCUGAUCCAGCCAUGCCGCGUGUGUGAAGAAGGCCUUUUGGUUGUAAAGCACUUUAAGCGAGGAGGAGGCUACUGGUAUUAAUACUACCGGAUAGUGGACGUUACUCGCAGAAUAAGCACCGGCUAACUCUGUGCCAGCAGCCGCGGUAAUACAGAGGGUGCGAGCGUUAAUCGGAUUUACUGGGCGUAAAGCGUGCGUAGGCGGCUUUUUAAGUCGGAUGUGAAAUCCCUGAUCUUAACUUAGGGAUUGCAUUCCAUACUGGGAGGGUAGAGUAUGGGAGAGGAUGGUAGAAUUCCAGGUGUACCGGUGAAAUGCGUAAAGAUCUGGAGGAAUACCGAGGGCGAAGGCCCCCCCUCUGGCCUAAUACCGACUCUGACGUAAAAACGCCUGUGGAGCACACAGGAUUAGAUACCCUGGAAAUCCCUGGUCGAAAUGAGGUCUACUAUCCCUUGGGGGCCUUUAGGGCUUAAUUGGCGCAGCCACAGCCC
rnacentral:rRNA from 1 species